ensembl:lncRNA
UUAAUUUAUAAAUUUACAUUCAUUCACAAAAAGUUCUUAGGCUUAACUAGGCUGAUCUCACUGAGCCUAAUCAUAAAUGUCUUUGGAAAAAUUAUUAAUAUAGGGGAAUAUUCCAUAGUUUAUGUUAAUUUUCAAAAUAUGUAUUUUUAUUGACUAAUUGAGAUGAAUUACUGCCUAAGAAUAAUUCUUUGUAUGUGAAAAAUAAUCUGCUUAAAAUUUCUUUCUACAGAAUUCUAUAAAUCUGAAGACUAAACUUUAAAAUAAAAUCGUCAGAGGAAAGGAAUUGGUAGAAAUAAAACUGGAAACAUCCAGAAUCUUGAUGGUGUGCCAAACCAGAUGUCAACUGGAGCUCAACCAAAACCUAAAGCUAGACUGCCAAACCCAAUUUCAGCCAUAGAGUACCGGAUGUAUAAAGUUCACUGUCCUGUGGAACAUGUCUGAGGUACCAGUGCUGAGGUUUGAAUGUGGUCCUGGCUGCAAAAUACUGAGGGCAAGACCUCUCCCAGUGAUGGUGCUCUCUGACAAACGAAGCAAAGAGAGAGCAGCUACUUGUGCUAUGCGAUCAGUGUCUCCUAUUCCCCAAACUCAGCUAAGAAUGAAAGAUGGAGCCAAGAUUCAGCAAAAUUGGCUCAUAAAUACAAAAACUAAUUUCCUCUUCUAGAAGGAUCAAAAG